AAUACUCCUCAAAAUUGUUAAGAGGAGUAUUUUUACUCUUCUGGAAAAAAUGUAGUGCGACCUCUGUACAGGAGGGAAAGGCAAGGGGAAGUACAUACGAGGGCAAAGGCAAGAGGUACUAUAUACAGGGCACACAGACAAGAGGCACUAUAUACCGGGCACACAGACAAGAGGUACUAUAUACAGGGCACACAGACAAGAGGCACUAUAUACCGGGCACACAGACAAGAGGUACUAUAUACAGGGCACACAGACAAGAGGCACUAUAUACAGGGCACACAGACAAGAGGUACUAUAUACAGGGCACACAGACAAGAGGCACUAUAUACCAGGCACACAGACAAGAGGUACUAUAUACAGGGCACACAGACAAGAGGCACUAUAUACAGGGCACACAGACAAGGGGCACUAUAUAUGGGGCACACAGACAAGAGGCACUAUUUACAGGGCACACAGACAAGAGGCACUACAUACGGGGCACACAGAAAAGAGGCACUAUAGAAAGGGCACACAGACAAGAAGAACCAUAUACAGAGAGCAAAGGCAAGGGGCACUAUAUAAAGGGGGCACAGAGCAAAAGGUACUGUAUACAGGGGGCACAAGCAAAAGGCACUAUAUACAGGGCACACAGGCAGGAGGCACUAAAUACAGAGACGUCAUCUGUAACGGACUAAAUGUAAAUGUUUAUUCUGGCACUGUUAUUCUGACAGGUGUAGUCUACAGGGUGAUGAUGGUUGGUAGCAUUCUGUUUUAUGUAACGGCAACUGACAGCAAAUGUUUACAUUUGUUCAAUUUAUACUGGAAGCUGAGGCCUGAUCAAGCAGUGGAGGGUCUAGGCGCAAAUG